rnacentral:lncRNA from 1 species
GUUGAUGGUCUAUUGUUUGUACUUCUGUGUCCCGGGUUUGUCUUUUGUUCAUUUAUUGUUCUACUUAAUGACUAGUCUGAGUGUUGAUUUUCAUUUGUAAACGUGUCACACUGUGUAAUGUUGCAUGUCCACCGAUGUACAGGCAUUAUGCGAGAAAAUAUUUUAAGAAUAUACGAUGCUACUGGACACAGAAAAAAGUGGUCGUUUCUGCAUGGAGAAUUGAACUUGAUAUCAAAGAAUACGAAACUGCCUUUCUUGUAUAUAAAACCAUACCCAAUUUUUCUUAGUAUGGAUUGUAAAAUUAGAUAUUUUCUGUAGGUGAGAUAUACACAGAAGUGAUAGAUAUGUAUUAUAAUAUAGAAAAAUUGAAUAUUCUUAUCAUCAACAAAAAUAAAAAAAAAUAACUGUAUCAUAUACCCAAGCGCCUGUGGAUAAAACUAGAUAGCUGACAUGGUUUAAAUUAAAGUAAGACCACCAAUUUCCCGGUAUCAAAUCAUUUGUUGAAAAAAACAUCAAUGUAUUGCCAUAUGACCUUUUACAUUCAAGGGUUAAAUUUGCAUUAAGUCGUGUUCAGACCCUUUAACAGAAAUAAAGGAAUAUGAAGUACACGUGCACGGGAGCUAAUCGCACACAAUGUCUAUGUAUAGAAAAAAAAUACAAAUGAUCAAUGGUCAAAGUUUUUAUUCCUGUUCUUCAUCUUGAUAGUUGCUGGAGGGUCUUCAAUAAUGAAAGAAUCAUAAAUACCGUAAAACAAGGUCAAUAUAGUCCCUAGUGUCGACUUGAGCGGUACUAGUAUUUAACGUAUAUUACUGCACUAAUGACUGUCACUAUAUUUAAAUCUAGUCAUACAAAAUCUCAAGUCAGCACAAUACAAGACAAGAACAGACA